GACGAACGCUGGCGGCGUGCUUAACACAUGCAAGUCGAACGGAAAGGCCCUGCUUUUGUGGGAUGCUCGGGUGGCGAACGGGUGAGUAACACGUGAGUAACCUGCCCUUGACUUUGGGAUAACUUCAGGAAACUGGGGCUAAUACCAGAUAGGAGCUCCUGCUGCAUGGGGGGGGUUGGAAAGUGUGGGCGGUUGGGGAGGGACUCGCGGCUUUUCAGCUUGUGGGUGGGGUAGUGGCUUACCAAGGCUUUGGCGGGUGGCCGGCCUGGGUGGUUGACCGGCCACAUGGGGCCGGGGAACGGGCCCAGACUCCUACGGGAGGCAGCAGGGGGGAUUAUGGCCCAAGGGCGGGAGGCCGGUGGCAGCACGCCGGGGGGCGGGAUGACGGCUUCCGGGUUGAAACCGGCUUCCGCAGGUGACGAAGCGUUAGUGACGGUAAUGGGUAAAGAAGCACCGGCUAACUACGUG
rnacentral:rRNA from 1 species